rnacentral:rRNA from 1 species
AAAAGCUUUCUUUAAUUGAAUAAUUGAAUUUAAUUUUUUAGUGCAAAAGCAAAAAUAAAAAUUAGGGACAAGAAGACCCUAUGAAUUUUUUAUUAAAUUUUAUAAAACUUUAUAUAAAAUUUAAUUUAAUUGGGGUGAUGGAAAAAGAAUAAAUAUCUUUUUUUAAAAAAAAAAUUGGUUCCGUUUUUAGCGAUUAAAUGAAAAAAAUACUCUAGGGAUAACAGCGUAAUAAUUUUGGAUAGUUCAUAUAGAUAAAAUAGUUUGCGACCUCGAUGUUGGAUUAGGAUUCUUUUUUGGUGAAGAAGUUAAAAAAAGAAGUUUGUUCAACUUAUAAUUUCCUACUUGAUCUGAGUUCAGACCGG